rnacentral:lncRNA from 1 species
GGAGGUUGUUUUCAUGUAAUCAUAUUGUCCCUCAAAGGAUGUUCUCUCCAAUGAAGCAGGGUGCGUACCCAGACCUCUGAGACUUGCCCUUCCGAAUGGGUUUCUGUUUCACCAGAUACAACCAAGCAGUUCUCUAUGAACACAUUUUUUCCCCAUGGAAAAAUUCAAGCUAAAUUUAGUAAUAAAAACAUUCUCAGUAAAUUAACAUCUACAUCGAACUGUUAUCCAGAAUUUCAAAAAAAAAAAAAAAAAAAAGCAUGACUAUUAUGCUUUUAUCAUUUACAUUAUGAUAACACCAUGAACGAGACUGCAUUCAUGGAUUCCUGAGAACAAUCUGAUUGUGCGUAGAAGUAGAACAUUCAGCACAUGCUUUCUUUAAAAAUAAAAAUGAUCAACGUGGUAAUAAUAUAUAUGCUGUUGAAUAUUUGUUGCAACAACUGAUGUUUCAUAUUUGUUACCUCACACUGUCUUCUGCAUCUGUUGCUUGGUGAGACAACCGAUGCCUUGCUGGUGGUUGUCUUGGAGGGGCAGCAUUAGCAGGCGAGGAACCUUUUGCUGCCCGGACUGUUAUUGGCUUCCCUUUGCAUAUGACGUGCACCGCACAAAACUCUGGCACAGCUUUAGUCAAGUUUGAUGGGACAUCAGGGUUCCUGAAUCUCCUGCAGGGAGGAAGAACAACUGCUUCUUGUAAGGGUUUCAAAUUCCAAGAGCUUUGACGCACGAGGGAAGUGAUGGAGGCAGGAAGUCAUAGAGACCUCAUGAGGGCAUUCCUGUUUGAGGCACCAACAACAAUAUUCUGGAUGUGGU